GAUGAACGCUGGCGGCGUGCUUAACACAUGCAAGUCGAACGGAAAGGCUCCUGCUUGCAUGGGUCCUCGAGUUUCUCACUUUUUAUUAACACUUUUUUUAUCUUCCCUUCACUUCUUUCUAAUCCUUGGAAACUUUUUCUAAUACCUGAUAGGACUAUUUUUUGGAUGCCAUUUUUGAAAUUUUUUCGGUUUGGGAUGAGCUCUCGGCCUAUCAGCUUGUUGGUGGGGUAAUGGCCUACCAAGGCGUCGACGGGUAGCCGGCCUGAGAGGGUGUACGUCCAAAUUGGGACUGAGAUAAGGCACAGACUCCUACGGGAGGCAGCAGUGGGGAAUAUUGCACAAUGGGCGCAAGACUGAUGCAGAGACGCAGCGUGGGGGAUGACGGCCUUCGGGGUGUAAACUACUUUCGCUAGGGACGAAGCGCAAGUGACGGUACCUGGAGAAGAAGCACCGGCUAACUACGUG
rnacentral:rRNA from 1 species